rnacentral:rRNA from 1 species
UACCGAGGUGGCAAGCGUUGUUCGGAAUUACUGGGCGUAAAGGGCGCGUAGGCGGUUCGUUAAGUCCUGUGUGAAAUCCCCCGGCUCAACUGGGGAACUGCACAGGAAACUAGCGGGCUUGAGUUCGGGAGAGGGAAGCGGAAUUCCGGGUGUAGCGGUGAAAUGCGUAGAUAUCCGGAGGACCACCGGUGGCGAAGGCGGCUUCCUGGACCGACACUGACGCUGAGGCGCGAAAGCUAGGGGAGCAAACGGG